rnacentral:rRNA from 1 species
CGGGCUUCGGGAUUGCAAUGAGCCGAAUUUACACCCCUUAGCGAGGAUCAAUUGGAGGGCAAGUCUGGUGCCAGCAGCCGCGGUAAUUCCAGCUCCAAUAGCGUAUAUUAAAGUUGUUGCAGUUAAAAAGCUCGUAGUUGGAUUUCUGGGAGGGUGCCAAUGUCCGCCGACGUGCGUGCGCAGCGGCGCCCUCUCAUCCUUCUGUUAACGUCUCUCGGCAUUCACUUGCCGGUGGCGGGCUCAGAUAUUUUACCUUGAGAAAAUUAGAGUGUUUCAGGCAGGCUAGGCCGGAAUACAUUAGCAUGGAAUAAUGGAAUAGGACUUCGGUCUCUUUGUUGGUUUGAGGGACUGCAGUAAUGAUUAAUAGGGACAGUUGGGGGUAUUCGUAUUUCGUUGUCAGAGGUGAAAUUCUUGGAUUUCCGAAAGACGAACUACUGCGAAAGCAUUUACCAAGGAUGUUUUCAUUAAUCAAGAACGAAAGUUAGGGGAUCGAAGAUGAUUAGAUACCAUCGUAGUCUUAACCAUAAACUAUGCCGACUCAGGAUUGGCG